GUCCACGCCGUAAACGAUGAUCACUAGAUGUUAGUCUAGCUUAGCUGGAUUAGUGUCGUAGCUAACGCGUUAAGUGAUUCGCCUGGGAAGUACGGUCGCAAGGCUAAAACUUAAAAGAAUUGACGGGGGUCCGCACAAGCGGUGGAACAUGUGGUUUAAUUCGACACUACGCGAGAAACCUUACCUGGGCUUGACAUGUACUUGACAGCUGUAGAAAUAUGGUCUUUUGGGUUUCGGCUCAAACAGGUACACAGGUGCUGCAUGGCUGUCGU
rnacentral:rRNA from 1 species